CCGUUCCAAGAUGCUGUCAAAAUUAAAUCAAUAUGGCUACUGGAAGGCAAACAUUGAAUAUUAUUCUAUCAGGUUCUUAUGGUUUUAGAUCAUUUUAGUUGUUGUACAAAGAUUAAUUUAACAUUUUCUCUGGAAGUAUUAAUUUAGAAAGAUAAUAUGCCUCAUUGGUGUUGUGUUUUGAAGUGUGAAAUGCAAAGUAAUCGUGAUAAAGUUAGCUUUUACCACUUACCAUCAGUGCUACAUUCUAAGCACAAAACUGAACCAAUUUAACUAAAUAAGUUAUAGUUAUCAUCUGAGAGACAACAACAAUGGUAAAAUGCAAUAAAAUAUAAAGAUUUUACUAGCAAAAUGGAAAUUCCCCUGUAAUCAUCUUAUAUCUGGAAAACCAGCCGACUUAACUGAUAAUAACAAUCCAGAUUGGGUUCCUUCAAUAAAUAUGGGGUAUAUAAACACAAUGAAAUGAGUUCCCCAAAAUCUAAAAUGGGAAUUAAGGUACCAAAGGAGAAUUAAAAGAAAAGGGUACCUACAAGAAAAAAUUGCUUUUUUAUUCCUCUUGAAAUGAUUUAUAAGACACUGGACUGUCUUAUAUUCUACAAAUACUAGAAUCAGCUGAGAGAAGUGGUCUACAAAAACCCAGGAAGGAAACGGAAUAUGUGGCUACGAAAGGCAAAAGAAAGGUUUACAAAGCAAAUGUGACACAUUUUUUUGAAAUAUUUAGGAAUAUCAGUAAAUUGCAUUAAAAAAAUGUAUGAAAAGAUUUUGUUCAAUAAAAAUGUUUAUAUUUAUCAAGGAUGUAUUAAUUGGUAUGGCCACAUAUCGUCAGUGAUGUAAUAAUACAUCCUAUCUGUUUUUU